rnacentral:lncRNA from 1 species
AUGUCUCAUAUCCCCAUGUCCCCACAUCCCCAUGUCUCAUAUCUCCAUGUCUCAGGUCCCUGUGUCCUCACGUCCCCGUGUCCCCACAUCCCCAUGUCCCCACAUCCCCAUGUCUCCACAUCCCCAUGUCCUUACAUCCCCAUAUCCCCACAUCCCCAUGUCCCCACAUCCCCAUGUCUCAGGUCCCCAUCUCCUCACAUCCCCAUGUCCCCACGUCCCUGUGUCCCCACAUCCCCGUGUCUCAGGUCCCCAUGUCCUCACAUCCCCAUGUCUCAUAUCCCCAUGUCUCAGGUCCCCAUGUCCCCACGUCCCCAUGUCCCCACAUCCCCAUGUCCCCACAUCCCCACAUCCCCACGUCCCCACGUCCCCAUGUCCCCUAGCCAGCUGGGCGCAGGGCCCGGGGGAGGGGACAAGAGCCGCAAUCCUUCAGGAUGCUCGACAUUAUCAAGUGCUAAUGAGACCUGUAUGGGGCUGAGGUGCUUUGCAGGCCAUUACCCCAAAUUAACCUGACAAAGGAGCCCGGGCGGGUGUCUGAAGCGGGGCUGGGUUGUGUAUUGGCCGUCUGGGGCUGGGGGCAGAGGGGCUGCUGCCCUCUGCCUUUCCCAAGACACCGUCUCCCCUUGGCAGCACCCCGCUUUGCUCGCAGCCCCUUGCAGAAAGCGAAGCCCCUAGGAAGCAUCUCCCGUUGCGCUGAUGGACCAAACCAACCGCCCCAGAGCAGGAGAAAGGAGAAGGAUGGGGGGCAGCGGGACAUUGCUCUUGCCAUCAGCCACCUCCGCUGCAGGCCGGUGUUUGGCCCGUCUUUCUCAGAGGCGAGACACGUUCCCCCACCCUCGUGUCCGUGCCCACGUGCCCGUGCAGAGCGCCGUCACCCUUCCAGUGGCCCCGUGGCCGAUCAACCCAGGCAAAAAUAACCACUGAGGUCUCGGGAGAAGCGUUCCCCAGGUGCCUGGCUCUUGCAGGCUGAUCUACGGCUGAGGCACCGGGACGUCCCAGCACACCUAGAGGAGAAACCACGACGAAGGAGGACGGUUGGCCUUGGGAGCUGGUCUUCUCCAGGCUCUGUGACCAAUGAGCUAACAUACAUCAGUUAUCCCCCGUGCUCCUUUUUUUGCAGUAAAGACGAAGCCCUGGUUUCCCAGGACGUUCCCACCUGUGCUGUCGCAGGAGAAAUGGCCGGGAAAACGUGACAUGAGGGUAGACGUCAAAGCCUGAUGGGUGCUGAGCGCCCAUUUUUUAGGCCAAUCUUGGUUUCUGAGCUCAUGAUUUCAAGCUCCUUCGGUCGCCGGUGCAGGACUCGUUACCCUAAUGAGCGCCAGCACACGCCUGUCUAAUCGGCGGCAGGAGCCCCCGGGACCCCUCUUUUCCCUGACAGGGUCCGGCCGAACGGACGCUGCCGGUCAAGGAGCUUUUUGGCCCGGAUCACCAAUGCGCGAAGCCCCCCGUCGCGUUUUCGCGUGUGCUUGCUGCGGGUUUUUGGAAAUUUCCACCGCGUCCCUCGCCCAGCCGGGGAGAUUUGCGGCUUGAGUGGGCCGGGGGGUCUCGCUUCCCCCCCCCAACGGACCGAGGCGAGGUGCGAAAUUUCUCAUGGGCAAACAAGGGAGAGCUGCAGGGUGCCCAGGAGCAGGGGGACGGCGAGGAGGAGGAGGAGGAGGAGGAUGGUGGUGGGGGGCAAGCGAAGGAGGAGAGAAAGCGGCAGCCAGAAAGGGACAAAAAUCCCGAAGUUUGAAGAGUGGGGCGUUUUCUAUGGGGGGAUUGUAAAAUGCGCUCUCUCUUUCCCCUUUCCAGGGGGGGAUAAGGGGGCCCCCCCCCUCUAUCUGAUAGUCAUUAGCAUCAAUUAGGAGCGUUUGAAGUGGGCAACAUCUUUGUCUCUUUGCAGAAAAGAAAUAAAAAAACCUUUCAGGGAGCCCA